rnacentral:tRNA from 1 species
AAACUUAGGUUAAUACAAANCCAGAAGCCUUCAAAGCUUCAAAUACGGAA